rnacentral:rRNA from 1 species
CCUACGGGUUGCAGCAGUGGGGAAUUUUCCGCAAUGGGCGAAAGCCUGACGGAGCAACGCCGCGUGAGGGAUGAAGGCCUCUGGGCUGUAAACCUCUUUUAUCAAGGAAGAAGAUCUGACGGUACUUGAUGAAUAAGCCACGGCUAAUUCCGUGCCAGCAGCCGCGGUAAUACGGGAGUGGCAAGCGUUAUCCGGAAUUAUUGGGCGUAAAGCGUCCGCAGGCGGCCCUUCAAGUCUGCUGUUAAAAAGUGGAGCUUAACUCCAUCAUGGCAGUGGAAACUGUUGGGCUUGAGUGUGGUAGGGGCAGAGGGAAUUCCCGGUGUAGCGGUGAAAUGCGUAGAUAUCGGGAAGAACACCAGUGGCGAAGGCGCUCUGCUGGGCCAUCACUGACGCUCAUGGACGAAAGCCAGGGGAGCGAAAGGGAUUAGAUACCCUCGUAGUC